UUGAAACGACUAGGACGGACAAGGACCUAACACAUGCAAGUCGAACGGUAACAGGAAGAAGCUUGCUUCUUUGCUGACGAGUGGCGGACGGGUGAGUAACACGUGGAUAACCUACCUAUAAGACUGGGAUAACUUCGGGAAACCGGAGCUAAUACCGGAUGUGCCCUUCGGGGGAAAAGAUUUAUCGCCUUUAGAGCGGCCCGCGUCUGAUUAGCUUGUUGGUGGGGUAAUGGCCCACCAAGGCUACGAUCAGUAGCUGGUCUGAGAGGA
rnacentral:rRNA from 1 species